AUUAUCCAUCUUACCAGGUGCGUUCGCGGCCCUCGAGGGUUCUCUCUCGGGUGGUAGGGGUAACACCCUCACGCGUCGCAUUUCUGAAUCCUUUUUUUACGAGCACCUUUCGUUCUCCUUCGGUGGGGCAACCUGCCGCUGGAACUUAACAAAACCUUUUUUUGCAUCUAGCAUUACCUGUUCUGAUACAAACAAUCGUUACAACUUUCAACAAUGGAUCUCUUGGCUCUGGCAUCGAUGAAGAACGCAGCGAAAUGCGAUAAGUAGUGUGAAUUGCAGAAUUCAGUGAAUCAUCGAAUCUUUGAACGCACAUUGCGCCCCUUGGUAUUCCAUGGGGCAUGCCUGUUCGAGCGUCAUCUACACCCUCAAGCUCUGCUUGGUGUUGGGCGUCUGUCCCGCCUCUGUGCGUGGACUCGCCCCAAAUGCAUUGGCAGCGGUCCUUGCCUCCUCUCGCGCAGCACAAUUGCGUUUCUUGAGGUGUGCGGCUCGCAUCCACAAAGCAACCAUCGUCUUUGACCUCGGAUCAGGUAGGGAUACCCGCUGAACUUAAGCAUAUCAAUAAGCGGAGGAAAAGAAACCAACAGGGAUUGCCCUAGUAACGGCGAGUGAAGCGGCAACAGCUCAAAUUUGAAAUCUGGCUCUCUUUGGGGGUCCGAGUUGUAAUUUGCAGAGGAUGCUUUGGUAUUGUCGGCGGUCUAAGUUCCUUGGAACAGGACAUCACAGAGGGUGAGAAUCCCGUACGUGGUCGCCUGCCUUUACCGUGUAAAGCUCCUUCGACGAGUCGAGUUGUUUGGGAAUGCAGCUCUAAAUGGGAGGUAAAUUUCUUCUAAAGCUAAAUACCGGCCAGAGACCGAUAGCGCACAAGUAGAGUGAUCGAAAGAUGAAAAGUACUUUGGAAAGAGAGUCAAAAAGCACGUGAAAUUGUUGAAAGGGAAGCGCUUGCAGCCAGACUUGCCCGCAGUUGCUCACCUAGGCUUUUGCCUGGGGCAUUCUUCUGCGGGCAGGCCAGCAUCAGUUUGGGCGGUUGGAUAAAGGCCUCUGUCACGUAUCUCCCUUCGGGGUGACCUUAUAGGGGAGGCGUAAUGCAACCAGCCCGGACUGAGGUCCGCG
rnacentral:rRNA from 1 species